rnacentral:lncRNA from 1 species
UAUCUGGAUUGAAACAAUAGUGCUAUUAGAAACUAAAAUUUCCAACAAAAUUAUUUAGCAUUAAAUGAACAUGAUGAAUAAAAACGGGCGUAUUUUUUUUUUUUUUUUUUUUGUGUGCCGAGGUUUGCAUGUCUGACCGGAAGGUCUGUUUCACCGGACUUAUAUAUUGAAUACUUUUUUCAAGACCAGACUGUAACCUGCCUGCUGGGUGUGGCCUUUAUGUCUCCAUUUGUCGUAGCCUUUGGUUGAUUUGGAACCCCUCCCUUUCCUUAGUUUUGCUGGGUGAAACAUAUCAACCAAACAUUUGGAUAAAAACUGCAUGUUUGUCUUUUUAACUCGUAUCGGUCGUAUUGUAAAUUUCAUCGAAUAACCCGGUGUAUAUCUUGUUUAGAAAAGAAGAAAUCUGUGAGGUUAUGCCAACUUAACUUGCAACAAACCAACGAGAAUUUCCUUGUCUAUUUUUUACUGACAAAUCCCACAUCAAAUAUAUCAGUACAUAGCUUUGGAUCCAUGCUAACGUUAUAUGAUAGACAAUUAAUAGGGAGAAUACAGCAUCAAAAAUGUCCAACCCUUACACUUUACAGCAACUAUAAAAUAUACAUGCUCCACGCCAGGAACCGUUUA